GGGCCCGCACAAGCGGUGGAGCAUGUGGUUUAAUUCGAUGAUACGCGAGGAACCUUACCAGGGCUUAAAUGGGAAAUGACAGGGGGCAGAGACGCCCCUUCUUCGGACAUUUUUUCAAGGUGCUGCAUGGUUGUCGUCAGCUCGUGCCGUGAGGUGUCAGGUUAAGUCCUAUAACGAGCGCAACCCCUACCGUUAGUUGCCAGCGUGUAAUGACGGGGACUCUAACGGAACUGCCGGUGCAAACCGUGAGGAAGGUGGGGACGACGUCAAAUCAUCACGGCCCUUACGUCCUGGGCCACACACGUGCUACAAUGGUAGGUACAGAGGGAAGCCACCCCGGCGAGGGGGAGCGGAUCUAUAAAACCUAUCUCAGUUCGGAUCGGAGUCUGCAACUCGACUCCGUG
rnacentral:rRNA from 1 species